UUGCUAGCUCCUUUCACCCCAUGCUCAUGCAGCGACGGACGCCCUUAUUCUAUUUCUCUUUGUCUUCCGAGAACAACAGCAAAUGCCAUUUCUUUCUUCGUUCUUCACUCUGAUGAGGCGUGAUGAAGAUAUCGAAUCUGCGACUAUCUACAGCAUACCACCCCUGCCUGAAAAUAUGUGCCUGGACAUGUGUGUGCAUGUGUCCGUGCAAGUGGCGUUUAGGUCCCCUCCCGCCGCCUCCUGCCGCCUCCCCCCCCCUCCCCAAUGCACACACGAGCAGGGUUACGAUUGAAGAUGACGGUGUCACCAGAGGUGCACGCGAGAUCAUCGAUCGCCGGGGCGUUGAGUGCCGCCUUGCAGGUGUGUCGCCGAGUACGAUAAGGAUCUCGGUUCAUGAUAACACUCAUAGCUCUGAAUGCCGCUAGUCUUCUUCAAGACCCCAUUUCUGAGGAGCACCUUGCAUAUGUGUUUAGUUAGGGAACGAGUGCUUUGCAGUGUGCCGCAGACGUGCGAAUCGAUCUGAUGCGGAUUCGUUGCCCUCACCCAAACAUAUCUCAUCGCCUCCCUCUGCAUCUUCUCCCGCAAG
rnacentral:misc_RNA from 1 species